GGUUGGAGAAGGACUUUCUUGUGCCCCUUCUUCAUUCUCUACUGGUCUUUUCCCAAAGGCUUUUUCCUUUUUCUUUUUUCUUUCUGCUGCUUCUCAAUUUUCUAUUUAUUUUUUGGCUUUAAUCUGUAAAAAGAUAUCAUAAGUAAUUGGUUUUUUCUUUUCCUCAGGAGGAGGAAAUUCUAUCUUUAGAUUUCCAGAUGAUCUGGGCUUGUCCAAUUGUCUUACUGAAGGGAAUAAUUCAAUGUCAUUCCUAGAAGGUUGGGGAGAAGUUAUUUUUCCUGUUUCCUUAAGGAUUCGAAUUUG
rnacentral:lncRNA from 1 species